GAGAAUUGAAGAUGAUUGAGUUUGAACAGUUAAGGCAGACAGAGGAAAUGAGUGUAGAGGAGUACACCGACAAGUUCUUGGAGCUGUUGCCGUUUGCAGGGCAAACUCUUGACACAGACCAUAAGAAGUCAAGGAGGUAUAUCAUGAAACUUCACUCCAGGUAUUCCUCCUUGAUUCAGUCCGCAGAUAGGGAGAGCUUCCAU
rnacentral:lncRNA from 1 species